UACGUAGGGGGCAAGCGUUUGUCCGGAAUCAUUGGGCGUAAAGAGCGUGUAGGCGGCUUGAUAAGUCCGCUGUGAAAGUCCAGGGCUCAACCCUGGAAUGCCGGUGGAAACUGAUCAAGCUUGAGUCCGGAAGAGGCGAGUGGAAUUCCUGGUGUAGCGGUGAAAUGACGCAGAUAUCAGGAGGAACACCAAUGGCGAAGGCAGCUCGCUGGGACGGUACUGACGCUGAGACGCGAAAGCGUGGGGAGCAAACAGG
rnacentral:rRNA from 1 species